GAAAGCAACUAACAAGGAUUCCCUCAGUAACGGCGAGUGAACAGGGAAGAGCCCAGCACCGAAGCCUGUGGUCGUUUGGCUACUAGGCAAUGUGGUGUUUAGGUCUGUUCCUUAGAGAUACUGCUCCACUCCAAGUCCAGCAAUGAGUACGGCUUUCUGGACAUGGCCCAUAGAGGGUGAAAGGCCCGUGGGGGUGGAGACUCGAUUGGCCAGUAUCUCUUCGGUCUGACCUUGGAGUCGGGUUGUUUGAGAAUGCAGCCCAAAGUGGGUGGUAAACUCCAUCCAAGGCUAAAUACUAACACGAGUCCGAUAGCGAACAAGUACCGUGAGGGAAAGUUGAAAAGUACUUUGAAGAGAGAGUAAACAGUGCGUGAAACCGCUCAGAGGUAAACGGGUGGAGUUGAACUGCAAGCUCUGUGAAUUCAGCUGGUGAGCGUGGUUUGAGCUUGGUCAAAUUGGUUGGAUAUAGAGGUCUGCGUAGUGGCAGGUCCUCAUCUUCUGAUGGGGAUGCGCGAUGUACCUUUUGUGUGCUGUGCGCCUCUUUAUUCUUCGGACCUGCUCGCCAGUGCACUUUCUCAGAGUGUUCAUCACGACCGGCAUUGUGGUCUGGCCGUUUCGGUUAAACCGGUCUUGCUUUGUCCCCGUGGCAUUGCUUGGUCGGGAUGGCAGGUAGCUCUUUGAUUGCCUUCGGGUGAUCGUUGAGUGUAAUCAGCUGACUGAGACGUUUCUGUGCCAUGUGUCGGAGACGGCGGCUUGUGGUGUGUGCAGUCGUGCCGGUUCCAUUGGCAGGUUCGAGUCUGGUUGGCAUGUUGCUUGCGAAACGCAGGCCUGGUAAUGUCUCGGAUCUGUAUGGUGGGCGGUUGCGGUUGUGACAUCUUAAAGGGCCAAUAGUCUGUGAUGUAGUGGUAGACGAUCCACCUGACCCGUCUUGAAACACGGACCAAGGAGAGUAACAUGUGCGCGAGUCAUUGGGCGUAACGAAACCCAAAGGCGUAGUGAAAGUAAAUGUUUGGCUUGUCCAGACUGAGGUGAGAUCCUGUCGUUUCUCACGCAUGGUACCACCAAGCAUCGAGCGAUAGGCGCAUCACCGGCCCGUCUCAUGACGUAGUUACAUUGUCUUCGGACUAGUACAUCGUCGGGGCGGAGCAUGAGCGUACAUGUUGAGACCCGAAAGAUGGUGAACUAUGCUUGCGCAGGUUGAAGCCAGAGGAAACUCUGGUGGAGGACCGCAGCGAUUCUGACGUGCAAAUCGAUCGUCAAACGUGAGUAUAGGGGGAAAGACUAA
rnacentral:rRNA from 1 species